UUGGAGGGCAAGUCUGGUGCCAGCAGCCGCGGUAAUUCCAGCUCCAAUAGCGUAUAUUAAAGUUGUUGCAGUUAAAAAGCUCGUAGUUGAAUUUCGGGAUCAGUACGCCGGUCGUGCCUUCGGUAUGCACUGGUGUCACUGGUUUCUCCCUUCUGAAGAACCAUCAUGCCAUUCAGUUGGUGUGGCGGGGAAUCAGGACUGUUACUUUGAAAAAAUUAGAGUGUUUAAAGCAGGCUCGCGCUUGAAUACAUUAGCAUGGAAUAAUGAAAUAGGACGUUUGACCCUAUUUUGUUGGUUUCUAGGAUCGACGUAAUGAUUAAUAGGGAUAGUUGGGGGCAUUAGUAUUCAAUUGUCAGAGGUGAAAUUCUUGGAUUUAUUGAAGACUAACUACUGCGAAAGCAUUUGCCAAGGAUGUUUUCAUUAAUCAAGAACGAAAGUUAGGGGAUCGAAGACGAUCAGAUACCGUCGUAGUCUUAACCAUAAACUAUGCCGACUAGGGAUCGGAUGAUGUUAAUUUUUGAAUGACUCAUUCGGCACCUUACGGGAAAC
rnacentral:rRNA from 1 species